rnacentral:lncRNA from 1 species
UAUCCAAAAUAUCUAUAAUUUAAUAUGUACCUGUCUAUUUUACUCAUAAUUUUUUAAAUAAAAAAAAUUAACAUCCAUACUCAUAAAUUUGUGAGUAAUUCUUAAAUAUCUGUGGCUACAGAUUGAGAUUAUGGCUUCAGCAAGGCAGCGAAUGAUUCAUCGUUUUACUGAUAUAAUUAGCAAAGACGAUUAAUGGUUUACCGUCUUUUGCUUAUUUAAUAUUUUUUUAUAUAUCUCAUAUAUAAUCUUAACAACCACAUAAGAAUAACAACAAAGUACAUAUAAUCUUAACAACAUUCUAAUAAUCGAUCCAUACAAUUCUAAUAUAAAAAUUGCAACAAAUCACAUAUAAUCUUAACAACUUGAAAAUCCUAAUAAUUUAUCCAUACAAUUCUAACAAUCAAAUAAAAAUUUCAAUAAUCUACGCAUACUAAAAACCUCACUUUUUCCUAUUUUCCAUCUAACAACUUCACUUUUUUUCUAUUUCCCAUGUAACCCACGUAUAAUUCUAACCAUCUCAUUUUUACCUAUUUUUUAUCUAACAACUUCACUUUUUUCUAUUUUCCAUAUAAUCUACGUACAAGAAAAUGUGAGGUUGUUAGAUGGAAAUAAGAAAAAAAUGAGAUUUUUAGAAUUAUACGUGGGUUAUUAGAAUUUUUAUUUGAUUAUUAGAAUUUUUAUUUGAUUGUUAGUAUUCUAUGGAUAGAUUAUUAGGAUUUUUAGGUUGUUAAAUUAUAUGUGAUUUGUUAUAAUUGUUAUGUGAUUGUUAAGAUUAUAUAUGAGAUUUAAAAAAAAAAUAUUAAAUAAGCAAAAACGGUGAACCAUUCACUGUCUAUACUAAUUAUAUCAGUAAGGCGGUGGACGAUUCACCGCCUUUAUAAGAAAAAUUUAAUCUUACGCCUCCAUAGCGAAAGGAGGAUUAGUUUUACAAAUAUAAUUUUGGAAGGAUUAUUUAUUAAUUUUAAAAUUUUGGAGGGUUAGUUUAUAAAAAAGUCCCAACUUAUAUAUAAAUUAUAAUCGAGAAUAUAGUUGCAUUGACCGGUCAAGGAGACACAUAUAUACUUUUGAAUCCUAUUAUAGUAUUGUUCCAUUUUGGAUGCACUCUCACUUUGCAUUCUCAUGCUUAUAUAAUAUAAGAAGUGGGUACAAAACUGGAGGUACCCUCGACAAGCAAGAGACAAUGAUAGCACAUUGCUAUUGUUUUCUUAUUUAUUUAUUUUUUUUUUGAGAAAAAGAUAGCAUGUUAUUCGUUUCAUUUAUUUUAUUUAGAAAUAAACUUAGCUGAAAAUGAGAAUUAACUAGGAUUCAAACUUAGGUCUCCGAUACCAACCACCAAACCUUUUUGCCACUUGCGCUAGGGACCGUCAGUUAUUAUUUCUUAGAGAUGUUAAAAUUAACAUUAGUGCUGAGAGUUAAAAUACUUUUGGAAAUAUCAAGUAUUNGGCUAUCAUCGCUUAUCAUUGAUGCAAGUUGGAUUGUUUAGAUAAAAAUAUGGUAACACUUUAUCUUUUGUUUAAUCUUAUUGAUUCUGCUCAUUUUUUUGCUCUUUAAAUUGAUUCAGUUAAAUGAAAUAGUCGACGAAAUCGGGGCUGAUAAUGUUGGAAUAAGGCUCUCUCCUUAUGCUAACUAUAUGGAAUCCGGAGAUUCAGAUCCCGAUGCUCUCGGCCUUUACAUGGUGAAUUCUCUGAUCAAAUUUGGAAUUUUGUAUUGCCACAUGGUGGAGCCAAGAAUGGUGAAAGUAGGCGAAAAGGUCGAAACUCCUCAUAAUCUGCUACCUAUGAGGAAUGNUAUCCAUACAAUUCUAACAAUCAAAUUAAGAUUAUUAUUAUUCUAAAAACCUCACUUUUUCCUAUUUUCCAUCUAACAACUUCACUUUUUUUCUAUUUCCCAUGUAACCCACGUAUAAUUCUAACCAUCUCAUUUUUACCUAUUUUUUAUCUAACAACUUCACUUUUUUCUAUUUUCCAUAUAAUCUACGUACAAGAAAAUGUGAGGUUGUUAGAUGGAAAUAAGAAAAAAAUGAGAUUUUUAGAAUUAUACGUGGGUUAUUAGAAUUUUUAUUUGAUUAUUAGAAUUUUUAUUUGAUUGUUAGUAUUCUAUGGAUAGAUUAUUAGGAUUUUUAGGUUGUUAAAUUAUAUGUGAUUUGUUAUAAUUGUUAUGUGAUUGUUAAGAUUAUAUAUGAGAUUUAAAAAAAAAAUAUUAAAUAAGCAAAAACGGUGAACCAUUCACUGUCUAUACUAAUUAUAUCAGUAAGGCGGUGGACGAUUCACCGCCUUUAUAAGAAAAAUUUAAUCUUACGCCUCCAUAGCGAAAGGAGGAUUAGUUUUACAAAUAUAAUUUUGGAAGGAUUAUUUAUUAAUUUUAAAAUUUUGGAGGGUU